UACAGGUUUGCACAGGGAUUAAAGCUGCGACAAAUCGAUCUAAUUCAAGAUGGUGUUUCUAGAAGCACACGUACGCUGUCCAAAAUGAGUAAAAAACUGCGAAGGAUCUGCAAAAGAGCAUUAAUCGAAAAAGGAGAAGCACAGGACAACACCUGGGAGGACACAGGGAGUUUGUAGUAAUAGACGAAAGUAACUUCUGCCACAAACGCAAGUAUGGUCGAGGUAGAUUUGGCCGGACCUGGAACAGAAGAAAGUGGGUUUUUGGAUUACUGGGCGUCAGGGAACAAAGAAGAAGACCCAUUCUCCGAUUGGUGGAAAAAAGAUCUCGACGUCAUUUACUUCCAAUUAUCAGAAAGCAUGUACGUAGAGGUUCAACAAUUAUCAGUGAUCAAUGGAGGGCUUACAUGGGUGCUCUUCAUAAUGCAGGUUACACACAUUUUAGUGUAAACCACAAGAGAUGGUUUGUUGACCCUCAGAGUGGUGGUCAUACACAACAUUUGGAAAGAGCUUGGGGUAUCUACAAAGGCCAGAUCUGGAGACUACGAGGUAACAGAACUGAAAAACUGUUAAAGGAGCACCUGUCAGUUAUUGAGUGGACCUACUGGCUGGGAAAGAACCACCAUGAGGGUCCUCUUGGGCGUCUCCUUAAAGACAUACGCCAGUAUUUUCCAGUGUAGGCAACCAUUUCAAAAUGUUUAAAACAAAGCAGUUAUAAAAAAUAACUAUAUACAGUAUUGUGCAAAUGUUUCGGCACCUGUGGGAAUGUCGUUAAAGAAUAAGCUUCUUAUUUGUGAAGUUAUUUUUAGUUCUCAUCAUAUCAACACCUGGUUUGGUAAAUUGGUAAAUUUGGUAAAUCAGGUGAGCUGCUGACGGAACUGAACAUAUACACAUGCUGGCUGAAUAAAUGCAUCCAGGAGAAAUCUGGAAGUACACUUUAUUUUUCAGCUUGGCUCACAGGAUGUAGCAUAUUUAGUUAAAAAUAUUAUGUUUUGCUGUUUUUAUGUUUAUUUGCAUCUGUUCAGAUUCAUAUGUGGUGCUUUUUUCAGGUAAAAACACUCAUAUUGCUAAUAAAUUAGUUUAAUUUGCUUUGGUACAUCAAGAUCACUGCUGGACUGCGAGUGGUCAACCACCCAAACGUAUCACGGUGUCAAGAGUAGCUCUGUGGGAAGAAACUGACACAACUUUGUAUAAACAGACAAACUACAGUAUCUGUGGUAGUGUGGUGGGUCAGUACAGAGGUUCAUUACACAGUGUGUAAAUGUGUGUAUUAGUAAAAUUCCUGUUACACUUUAAUUGUGCAGUUGUAAAGAUUGUUUUUUUCUUUACAGUGUUACAAAUAAAAAAAGUGAUUCCUUUUGCACAUCA